CCUCAGUGUGAUUUCUUGGAAAAGCAGAAGUCCAAUAAUGGACUAUACACGUUCCUCUUUUAUCAUUACUCAUAUCUUAGCCUAAAUUACUCUUGUUGUUUCUGUGCUAAAAGCAAUGCUGCUAAUAUCUAGUUCUGGCCAACUUUUGCUGAGCUGUUUGCAAUAAUUGUUGUAUACACAUUUAUGUAAAGGUACAUUUUUUCUUGGGCCUUAAUUCACUUACCAUGUAGUUCUCUCCUGAAUCAUGUUUCUGUCCCAUUUAUAAAUGUUAGGCUAUGAUUUGAAUUGCCUUGUUAAGGAAGCAUUAUCUAUUGAAAUGUUGCUGGCAGCUAUCCUCUAACUUAAGGGUGCAGGAGACACGGUCUUCAUUGGAGUGGUUUGUGGGAAAAGUACAAGACAUGAUUAUCUAAAUACUUUGAGACGAUCUAUAGUGAAGAGUACAAAUGAAUCAAGGUGAGAGGUUUAAAGAAGCUGAUCAGUUUUGCACUUCAUUGCCUUUGUCAUAUAAAAGUUUUAAUCUCUAUUCACCCACCAAAAAGGAGGAAUAGGAAAGAAAAUUGCAAAAGUGGAAGCUUUUUUACAUUUGCAUAAUGCCUGAUGCAGGCAUACGUUUAAGUACUUAGAGAGAGAUGAGACAAUGGUAGCUCACUUGGUGGGGGAAUUGAUGCAUUCAUAAAGCUGUCUCAAAGUUAGCUGCUAUCAAAAUCUCUAUUCAAUGUUGUAUAUACUUUCUAAAAUUUGAAGUCUAUGUUCCAAAUUCUGAGGAAAUCAUUGGUAGAGAUAUCACCGGGAUCGGAUCCUGGUACAAUAUACAUCUCAACACCUGUGGAGAAAUGUUAGUUAUGUUUCUGUUAGUAGCUUUUGUACUAGUGUAAUUUUCAUUACAUAAAUCAGUCAUGUAGGGUGCCUAGUGAUUUGAUUAUGAUAAUUGAUUUCCACGGUAAGAUGUACAAGUUUGGGUACUCCAGGACCAGAUCUCCAUUGCAGUGAUGUGCAAAGUUCAAGGAAAACUUUGUCAAGGGUCAUAAAUAUUGUGAAAGGGUUAACUCUAGCAUUUGUUUUUAAUUUACACUAGAUCUUCUGUCUGCUCGUGAGUAACGGGUUUUGCUUGUUUUCAUGACUUUUUCUUUAAAUUUAUCAUCACUAUUCACCAUGAUAUAUAUGAAUGAUAAUUAAAGAUAUAUUAAAAGAUAAUGACAAGAAAAUAUUGAGUUGUUCAGCUUUAAUUAUUUGGCACAGGCAAUGAGUCAAUGAGGGCAAAUGCUAUUGGCAGUUGUGUUGUGCUCAACCAUGGAGGAGGUUGCGCGGUAGACAAGAUGCUCAUGGAGUUUGCUUCACUGUCAAUAAUCCCUAUGAUACUUCUAUUUGUUGUUAUCCUCGUUAAUUCAUUUUUAAUUUUAUUAUUAUUUAUCUUUUUAAAAAUUGAUUUUACUAGAAUUCUGAUCAAUUUUGCUUUUCUAAUUUAAGUACUGUCUUUUAUGGUUUCUUUAUGCCUUGUAUAUUGGUGCACAGUAUGAUGCAUUUAACUUGAUAUACAUAAGAUGCACAAUAUGAUACAUUUAAUUUGAUAUUGCAUUACAGGUACAAGACUUUAGGCAGCAGGGAACUAAGAUGAGAAGAAAGAUGUGGCUUCAGAAUAUGAAGAUAAAAUUGAUUGUUUUGGGUAUCCUUAUUGCCCUGAUUCUUAUCAUUGUGCUGUCAGUCUGCCAUGGCUUCAAAUGUUAAUCUGUCUUGGAUUUCCCUUGUACCGCUCUUGCUGCCUGGGUUGUCUUGAUAGAUUGGUUUGUCUUACUUGUUUUUUUAGGGCAUAUAUUUCUCCCUUUGCUAGCCGUUUAGGAUAGGGGGAGGCUUUGUAUCUUGGUUGGCUGUAUAGGUUAUAGUUUGAACUUGUUACGGUAGAUAAAAAAUUUCUAUGGAGGAUUUCUUCUUUAUAUUGUAAUGGGGGAAUACUCGGAUGCCUGCAUAUCAUAUUUGUCCUUUUGAAAUGUUAUUAAUCUGUUUUUUUGUUUUUCUCGCUUAUCAUGUAAAUCCUUUUAUAUGCAUUUCUCUUUUAGAGGUAAGAGGACAAGGUUGGUUCUGUAAAAAUUUUUAAUGCUUAGGAGACUACGGUUGCAUGAGUAGCUCAGUGUCUUCGCCUUCCGCAGGGAAGGUCUUUAGCUCUAAUGAUUAAAGCGAUGUGUAUGAUUGAUUUUCUCCCACUACCUUUGAAGUCUUGUUUUGAGGAUCUAUUCUUUCUACGGAGAGAAAUUUGGGGAAUAAGUAAGGGAUGUUGACGAAUGGUUGUUUUGUCAAAAAAAAAAAAAAAUGGUUUGUUAAAACACUAGUUUGACAACGAAACAAAUUGAAUUUUAUUUGGUAGUCGGUUCGAUUUUUCUUUAUUAAAAUCAAAGGCGUUAGUAUAUUUUUGCUUGAAAACGAUUUAAUUUGAGUUUUUAAUCGUAAAUCGAGUUUGAGUAAUGGAAACUAAUGUCCACAAGAAUAUAUUAUAAUAUAUGAAAAAUUGUAGCUAUGAUGUGAAGCAAAAGUACUAUUGUGCUCAUGAUUUUGUAUAUAAUAUGUUGAGAUUAGGUCCUACUAUUAGAAAAAUUAAAAUUUAAUUCAAAUUUUAACAUCUUGAAAUUCGUUCAAUAUUAAAUACUUAAAAACUUAAUGCCCGCUGUUAACUGAAUCAUCUUUGUAUCAUUAUCCUCUCUAAUCUUUUUUUUUUUGCUUAAAAUAUAUAUAUAUAUUAUAUAACAAAAGAUUUUUAAUAGUUGGUAUUUUAUGAAUGAAAACAAAAGACUACAAAGUAGUCUGUUAUAACAAUUAAAUACCUUUAAUUAUAAUUAUUCUCUAUCAUAGUUUCUUAUUGCAAUUAAUACCAAAUUGAAUUUUGAUUCAAGUAAGAAAGAUAAGAUGCGUUUUGAGUAGAAAUUUUAAAUUCAAAUUAUAGAGUUCAUCACGAGAAAGAGAAACAAUAAAAUUUCGUAUAAUUUACAAAAAAAAUGACGUCGUUUAUUAUUAAUCACUUGAAAUGAAUGGCAUGACGACGUUUCCUUCUUAAUGCUUAUUUCUCUCCCCUCACACGGUGUCGUUUUACCAAGCAAUAAAAGCAUCCCGUGAAACCCUGGCCUGUUUCUUUUUCUUCCUCGUCUGGCUAGGACUCUAACCGAGCCGCACCACCUCUCUCCCACGAUGGUUCCUGGGUUUCUCUCUCGACCGUCCUUUUCACUUGCCUUAGCUUGUUUUAGACGCCAACCAAACGAAAUAGCGUCUUUUCAACGCCAAAUUGCCCAACACUAUAAAAACCGUUCCCUUUACUCACAAAAUCUUAGAUCUCAGAUUUCAGAUAUCAAAUCUCGGAUCGUUUCUUACUCUCUUUGAAGAAAUUGUGUUGCGAUGGCUGAUUUUCGUCUUCAAGGUAUUUGUCAAUCUCAAUUCACAGAGAUUGCUGCUGAAAGAGCUAAAGUAGCUGCAGAGGAAUAUUUCAAGUCGGGAAACAUCGACAGGGCUAUUCAGCAAGGGUUCGCAGCACUCGAUUUGAACCCCAAUUUACGGAUCGUGCAGAAGUACAUUGCCGCCUAUUUGAUUCACAAGUUUGCUUCUAUGUUAAGUCUUUGCCAGAAAAUGAAGGUAGACGAUACCAAAGUUCUGUACUCCAUUCUUUUUAUCGAAGAUUGUUCUGCCGUAGUUGAUGCUGCGACUAUUAGAAAACACUACAAGGAAGUGGUACUAUUGGUCCAUCCGGACAAGAAUGAUUCAGUUGCAGCAGAUGGUGCUUUCAAGAUCGUUCGUCAGGCUUGGGAAACUCUCUUAUCUGAUCACAACAAAAGAAGAAAGACUCGAUGAAGAUGAAGUUUUUUGGUUUGGAUUAGAUUCAUUUUGAAUGUAUUCAAAUUUUUUUAUGAAUAAUAUGUAGUUAGUUUUUAUUUUGUUCUGAUUUUGUUACUUUUUUUAGAUUCAAUUUGAUUUUGAUUUUUAGUGUCAGUCCAAUUUCAUAAUUGAUCACAAUUAUGAUUAAGCAUUCCAAGUUAAAAUGCUACCAUCAUCAAUCCAUAAUAUAAUAUACAGAGUAAAUUGAAGCAAAUUAUUUGAAGAAUAUUCUGAUGUGGGUUUUUUAGGCAAUGAACGUUUUCUUUAAGCUUUCAGAUUUUAUUUUGUUAAAAUAAAUUGCUUUGUGUUAUAUAUUUUGUAAGUCUUUUUCGUUUGUUUUAAAUUGAAUUCUGAGUUCAAGAGGUUAUUGUAUUAAGAAACUAUGUGUUUUGCUUGCUUCAGUGUUUGUAUCGGUGCUGCAGUUAUUCACUUUCUUUCUGAUUUGAUACAAUCAAACUAAAAAAAAGAAGGAAAAAAAUUUUUUUUCACAAAAGUUACUAUAAUAUAUUUCUUUUUAUGGGUGAUAGUUUGUUGAUUAUUCGUUAUUUCAAUAUCAAUUCUUUAGUUUUGGCUCAAGUUAAACAGGCAUUGAAAAACCAAUACUUGCUUGCAAAAGAAGAUCCAUAUCGGUUCUACGUGUCUUUUGAUUCUUCAAUUGUUAUCAAAUGCUUGCUCAUGUUGUCCAGAUGUUCCCAAAUGAUGUUUACUUGGGCGAUAUCAUUGAUGCUGCAAAGUCUUUCAGGUUUGUUAUUCGGUUUUUCUCACUUAGAGGUUGAAUCACAAUUUAUCAUAUGUUUAUUUUUGCACAAAUGUGCAUGUGUAGUGUGAUUUCUUGGAAAAGCAGAAGUCCAAUAAUGGACUAUACACGUUCCUCUUUUAUCAUUACUCAUAUCUUAGCCUAAAUUACUCUUGUUGUUUCUGUGCUAAAAGUAAUGCCGCUAAUAUCUAGUUCUGGCCAACUUUUGCUGAGCUGUUUGCAAUAAUUGUUGUAUACACAUUUAUGUAAAGGUACAUUUUUUCUUGGGCCUUAAUUCACUUACCAUGUAGUUCUCUCCUGAAUCAUGUUUUUGUCCCAUUUAUAAAUGUUAGGCUAUGAUUUGAAUUGCCUUGUUAAGGAGGCAUUAUCUAUUGAAAUGUUGCUGGCAGCUAUCCUCUAACUUAAGGGUGCAGGAGACACGGUCUUCAUUGGAGUGGUUUGUGGGAAAAGUACAAGACAUGAUUACCUAAAUACUUUGAGACGAUCUAUAGUGAAGAGUACAAAUAAAUCAAGGUGAUAGGUUUAAAGAAGCUGAUCAGUUUUGCACUUCAUUGCCUUUGUCAUAUAAAAGUUUUAAUCUCUAUUCACCCACCAAAAAGGAGGAAUAGGAAAGAAAAUUGCAAAAGUGGAAGCUUUUUUACAUUUGCAUAAUGCCUGAUGCACGCAUAUGUUUAAGCACUUAGAGAGAGAUGAGACAAUGGAAGCUCACUUGGUGGGGGAAUUGAUGCAUUCAUAAAGCUGUCUCAAAGUUAGCUGCUAUUAAAAUCUCUAUUCAAUGUUCUAUAUACUUACUAAAAUUUGAAGUCUAUGUUCCAAAUUCUGAGGAAAUCAUUGGUAGAGAUAUCACCUGGAUCGGAUCCUGGUACAAAUACAUCUCAACACCUGUGGAGAAAUGUUAGUUAUGUUUCUGUUAGUAGCUUUUGUACUAGUGUAAUUUUCAUUACAUAAAUCAGUCAUGUAGGGUGCCUAGUGAUUUGAUUAUGAUAAUUGAUUUCCACGGUAAGAUGUACAAGUUUGGGUACUCCAGGACCAGAUCUCCAUUGCAGUGAUGUGCAAAGUACAAGGAAAACUUUGUCAAGGGUCAUAAAUAUUGUGAAAGGGUUAACUCUAGCAUUUGUUUUUAAUUUACACUAGAUCUUCUGUCUGCUCGUGAGUAACGGGUUUUGCUUGUUUUCAUGACUUUUUCUUUAAAUUUAUCAUCACUAUUCACCAUGAUAUAUAUGAAUGAUAAUUAAAGAUAUAUUAAAAGAUAAUGACAAGAAAAUAUUGAGUUGUUCAGCUUUAAUUAUUUGGC
rnacentral:lncRNA from 1 species